rnacentral:piRNA from 1 species
UAGCAGGAUGUUUUCGGAUUCAGGUCUCUGU